rnacentral:rRNA from 1 species
GAUGAACGCUGGCGGCGUGCCUAAUACAUGCAAGUCGAGCGAACGGACGAGAAGCUUGCUUUUCUGAUGUUAGCGGCGGACGGGUGAGUAACACGUGGAUAACCUACCUAUAAGACUGGGAUAACUUCGGGAAACCGGAGCUAAUACCGGAUAAUAUUUUGAACCGCAUGGUUCAAAAGUGAAAGACGGUCUUGCUGUCACUUAUAGAUGGAUCCGCGCUGCAUUAGCUAGUUGGUAAGGUAACGGCUUACCAAGGCAACGAUGCAUAGCCGGCCUGAGAGGGUGAUCGGCCACACUGGAACUGAGACACGGUCCAGACUCCUACGGGAGGCAGCAGUAGGGAAUCUUCCGCAAUGGGCGAAAGCCUGACGGAGCAACGCCGCGUGAGUGAUGAAGGUCUUCGGAUCGUAAAACUCUGUUAUUAGGGAAGAACAUAUGUGUAAGUAACUGUGCACAUCUUGACGGUACCUAAUCAGAAAGCCACGGCUAACUACGUGCCAGCAGCCGCGGUAAUACGUAGGUGGCAAGCGUUAUCCGGAAUUAUUGGGCGUAAAGCGCGCGUAGGCGGUUUUUUAAGUCUGAUGUGAAAGCCCACGGCUCAACCGUGGAGGGUCAUUGGAAACUGGAAAACUUGAGUGCAGAAGAGGAAAGUGGAAUUCCAUGUGUAGCGGUGAAAUGCGCAGAGAUGUGGAGGAACACCAGUGGCGAAGGCGACUUUCUGGUCUGUAACUGACGCUGAUGUGCGAAAGCGUGGGGAUCAAACAGGAUUAGAUACCCUGGUAGUCCACGCCGUAAACGAUGAGUGCUAAGUGUUAGGGGGUUUCCGCCCCUUAGUGCUGCAGCUAACGCAUUAAGCACUCCGCCUGGGGAGUACGACCGCAAGGUUGAAACUCAAAGGAAUUGACGGGGGCCCGCACAAGCGGUGGAGCAUGUGGUUUAAUUCGAAGCAACGCGAAGAACCUUACCAAAUCCUGACAUCCUUUGACAACUCUAGAGAUAGAGCCUUCCCCUUCGGGGGACAAAGUGACAGGUGGUGCAUGGUUGUCGUCAGCUCGUGUCGUGAGAUGUUGGGUUAAGUCCCGCAACGAGCGCAACCCUUAAGCUUAGUUGCCAUCAUUAAGUUGGGCACUCUAAGUUGACUGCCGGUGACAAACCGGAGGAAGGUGGGGAUGACGUCAAAUCAUCAUGCCCCUUAUGAUUUGGGCUACACACGUGCUACAAUGGACAAUACAAAGGGCAGCGAAACCGCGAGGUCAAGCAAAUCCCAUAAAGUUGUUCUCAGUUCGGAUUGUAGUCUGCAACUCGACUACAUGAAGCUGGAAUCGCUAGUAAUCGUAGAUCAGCAUGCUACGGUGAAUACGUUCCCGGGUCU